AUUGAACGCUGGCGGCAGGCCUAACACAUGCAAGUCGAGCGGAUGAAGGGAGCUUGCUCCUGGAUUCAGCGGCGGACGGGUGAGUAAUGCCUAGGAAUCUGCCUGGUAGUGGGGGAUAACGUCCGGAAACGGGCGCUAAUACCGCAUACGUCCUGAGGGAGAAAGUGGGGGAUCUUCGGACCUCACGCUAUCAGAUGAGCCUAGGUCGGAUUAGCUAGUUGGUGGGGUAAAGGCCUACCAAGGCGACGAUCCGUAACUGGUCUGAGAGGAUGAUCAGUCACAAUGGAACUGAGACACGGUCCAGACUCCUAAGGGAGGCAGCAGUGGGGAAUAUUGGACAAUGGGCGAAAGCCUGAUCCAGCCAUGCCGCGUGUGUGAAGAAGGUCUUCGGAUUGUAAAGCACUUUAAGUUGGGAGGAAGGGCAGUAAGUUAAUACCUUGCUGUUUUGACGUUACCAACAGAAUAAGCACCGGCUAACUUCGUG
rnacentral:rRNA from 1 species